AUUGAACGCUGGCGGCAUGCCUUACACAUGCAAGUCGAACGGCAGCACGGCAGAGCUUGCUCUGUGGGUGGCGAGUGGCGGACGGGUGAGGAAUACAUGGGAAUCUGCCCAGUCGUGGGGGAUAACGUAGGGAAACUUACGCUAAUACCGCAUGCGCCCUUCGGGGGAAAGCCGGGGACCUUCGGGCCUGGCGCGAUUGGAUGAGCCCAUGUCGGAUUAGCUAGUUGGCGGGGUAAUGGCCCACCAAGGCGACGAUCCGUAGCUGGUCUGAGAGGAUGAUCAGCCACACUGGAACUGAGACACGGUCCAGACUCCUACGGGAGGCAGCAGUAGGGAAUAUUGGACAAUGGGCGCAAGCCUGAUCCAGCCAUGCCGCGUGAGUGAAGAAGGCCCUCGGGUUGUAAAGCUCUUUUGUCCGGAAAGAAAAGCGCCGGGUUAAUACCCUGGUGUCCUGACGGUACCGGAAGAAUAAGCACCGGCUAACUUCGUGCCAGCACGG
rnacentral:rRNA from 1 species